GACGGGGUUUCACCGCGUUAGCCAGGAUGGUCUCGAUCUCCUGACCUCGUGAUCCACCUGCCUUGGCCUCCCAAAGUGCUGGGAUUAGAGGCGUGAGCCACCGCGCCCGGCCUGCAGGGAAUCCAGGCCUCCUGCCAGCUACAGCACCAGCUGGGCAGCACCGUGCAUGAGCCGUCUUGGAAGUGGAUCUUCCAGUCCCAGUCGUGCUGGCGCCUUUGGCUGACUGGGCCUUAGCCAACCUCUGCGGGAUCCUGAAGCCGAACCACUGAGGAAGCCAACCAAUUGCAGAGGAAUAUUCUUCAGCUUCUACAAAGAAUCCGGCCUCUUAUUUUUCUUGAAACUUACAGCUGUCUUGGUGUGUCUUAUUUUUUUCCCCUCUUGAUAGAGAAGUGCUACAAAGAAAUGUUUUUGUACUUCAAUAAAAAGACGAAGUAAGUAAAAAGAUAAAUGACAACUGGUUUGGACCUCAUGUUGGAGAUGUGAUAGGGUGUAGAAGGGACUGGAAACUGGAGAGAACAUGCCCAUCCCAAGAGAGAAGACCCG
rnacentral:lncRNA from 1 species